rnacentral:rRNA from 1 species
UCCUGCCGGACCUGACUGCUAUCGGAUUGAUACUAAGCCAUGCGAGUCUUUGCAGUAAUGCAAGGCAGACGGCUCAGUAACACGUAGUCAACCUACCCUAUGGACGAGAAUAAUCUCGGGAAACUGAGCAUAAUUCUUGAUAGAUCAUAAUGCCUGGAAUGGUUUAUGGUUAAAAUGAUUCGUCGCCAUAGGAUGGGACUGCGGCCUAUCAGCUUGUUGGUGAGGUAAUGGCCCACCAAGGCGAUUACAGGUACGGGCUCUGAGAGGAGAAGCCCGGAGAUGGGUACUGAGACACGGACCCAGGCCCUAUGGGGCGCAGCAGGCGAGAAAACUUUGCAAUGUGCGAAAGCACGACAAGGUUAAUCCGAGUGAUUUCUGCUAAAGAAAUCUUUUACCAGUCAUAAAACCACUGGUGAAUAAGGGGUGGGCAAGUUCUGGUGUCAGCCGCCGCGGUAAAACCAGCACCUCAAGUGGUCAGGAUGAUUAUUGGGCCUAAAGCAUCCGUAGCCGGCUUUGUAAGUUUUCGGUUAAAUCCAUGUGCUCAACGCAUGGGCUGCCGAAAAUACUGCAUGGCUAGGGAGUGGGAGAGGUAGACGGUACUCAGUAGGAAGGGGUAAAAUCCUUUGAUCUAUUGAUGACCACCUGUGGCGAAGGCGGUCUACCAGAACACGUUCGACGGUGAGGGAUGAAAGCUGGGGGAGCAAACCGGAUUAGAUACCCGGGUAGUCCCAGCUGUAAACGAUGCAGACUCGAUGAUGCAUUGGCAUAAUAGCCAGUGCAGUGUCGCAGGGAAGCCGUUAAGUCUGCCGCCUGGGAAGUACGUACGCAAGUAUGAAACUUAAAGGAAUUGGCGGGGGAGCACCACAAGGGGUGAAGCUUGCGGUUCAAU